GGAAGCUCACAGUCUAGAAGAGGUAGCCGCAGAGAACAGAAGCAUCAGGGAGCCAGGUUUUCAUCUAAGCAAAGGAAACAAGGUUGAGGUGAUUAUUCAGGAUACUUCAGGAAAAAAAGAAUAUCUCAGAAUUAUCAUACUACAAUGAGAUUAAGAAUUCAUAUUCAGAAAACUAAUGGAGAUCUAAGAGCAGUGGAGAAGAGCUGACUGGCCUUGGGAAAGGACCCAUUUUUUUAAUGCAUGUCAAAGCUAUAGUCUAAUACAGUUUUUAAGUGUAAGGUGAUCGAAAUGAUCCUGAUUACCUCUAAUGAAAAUGGUCAACAGAACUGGAAUAUAACUUGGUUGCAAAUAACUCCAUUGGUUUAAACCAAGGACCAAUGAAACACAAUUUCCAUCUUAAGAGGGAUACUUAGUGUCUUUUCAUAUGUGUGUGUGUGCGUGUGUGUGUAUGUAUAAAAUAUCCAGA
rnacentral:lncRNA from 1 species